rnacentral:rRNA from 1 species
AUGGCGACGUGCAAUUUCUUCGCGUGGCUGGCGGCUCGGGAGAGGUGUUGGACGGUUGACAGGCUUGUGCGUCUGCACCUACCGCAUCCUUCAACUUGCCCCUUCUGUGAACAAGAGCCGGAGACAAUCAAUCACAUCCUUCUCGGCUGCGUCUUUGCUAGACAAGUGUGGCUCUCCAUUCUCGACCAGUAGGACAAACUAACUUGGUUUCCAAGGGUAGAUGGCAAUCUAGUGGAAUGGUGGACCUCCGUUAACCCGCAGCCAAAACUUAGUAAGGAGACAUGGACCAUCAUUGCAUUGGUGGCUUGGAUGUUGUGGAAGCACAGGAACGAUGUAGUGUUCAAUGGAGCGGCGGCCUCCACAAGUGAGCUCCUCAAGAAGAUUGAUCUAGAAGGGCAAGACUGGAGGGCAGCAGGGCUACUUCGAGAGGCGGGAUCACUCCCUGUUAGAGUAGAUGAGUGGGCUACUAGUGAGUAA